GCCGGGUAUGGUGGCGCACGCCUGUAAUUCCAGCAACUAGGGAGGCUGAGAUAGAAGGAUCACAAGUUCAAAGCCAGCCUCAGCAUCUUAGCAAGCCACUUGCAACUCAGUAAGACCCUGUCUCUA
rnacentral:sRNA from 1 species